rnacentral:rRNA from 1 species
UAGUUGGUAAGGUAACGGCUUACCAAGACGAUGAUGUCUAGGGGGUCUGAGAGGAUGAUCCCCCACACUGGUACUGAGACACGGACCAGACUCCUACGGGAGGCAGCAGUGAGGAAUAUUGGGCAAUGGACGCAAGUCUGACCCAGCCAUGCCGCGUGCAGGAUGACUGCCCUAUGGGUUGUAAACUGCUUUUAUACGGGAAGAAACCCAUCAACGUGUUGAUGGCUGACGGUACCGUAAGAAUAAGCAUCGGCUAACUCCGUGCCAGCAGCCGCGGUAAUACGGAGG